GCUGGGCGUGGUGGCGCGGGCCUGUAGUCCCAGCUCCUCAGGAGGCUGAGGCAGGAGAAUUGCUUGAAUCCAGGAGGCAGAGGUUGCAGUGAGCCGAGAUGAUGCCACUGCAGUCUAGCCUGGGUGACAGAGCGAGACUCCGUCUCAA
ensembl:misc_RNA Metazoa_SRP Metazoan signal recognition particle RNA